GAUAUUCUUGACAUCCACCUUGGAACAAGUACUUUAAGAUGACCAGCAGGUCACUCACUAGGCACUACUCCACAUCUUCAUCGUCAAAUGGGUUCUAUCUUUACCUUCAGAAGGAGGAGACAGAUAACAGGGCAAUGAUAAGGCUAAUAUCACAUGGCCUGGGCACCAUCCAUCUGCUGCAACAGGCUGAGUCAGAACUGCUCCCCUGAAAAAGCAGGGGCUCUGCAGAAGCCCAGGACGAGUGGGGCAGUUAUAUCCAGUGCUCAGAGGCAAGUGGCAGUGGUGGUGAUAGCAGUGCUGGGGGCCCUGAGUCUGCAGUGCCAGUGUUGGAAGCAGUACCUUUGUGUAUGGGGACAGCAAGCAGUGAUACACCAUUACUGGACCAGUCUGUGCACUACAGUAUUUGAGAUUAAUACCUGGCUACAUGGCCUUAGAAACAGUGCUGGCGAUGGACCCCACUGUUUCAAGCAAACUAAGCAGUCAAACACUGAGCUACACCCUAGGCCUAAUGACACUGACUUGACUCCAUUCUCUUUGUCUCUACUAAAUACAAGUACUUUCAUCCAUGUUUUGGUGGUAGUUCUAUAAGCAACUGAUGAAUCCUUGGUAGUUGGAAAUCAAGAAAUCUAGAAUGCUUCUAAACUUACUCUGACAAUGGAAAUAACCUAUAUCCAUGCUGUUCAAUAUGGCAGCCAGUAAACACUGACCAGUGAUUCAUUUGAUGUGACCAGUAUGACUGAGGAUUAAAUUUUAAAUUUUACUUGAUUUUAAUUAGUCUUAACAGAAAUGAUCACAGGUAUUUAGUGGCCAUAUACAAGUAUGAAACUGCUCAGCUCUAGAGGAAAAAUAAACUCAAGUGAGAGACUCAGGGCUUAUUUAAAUUGUAAUUCCUCUUACCUGGUGAUUUUAUUUCUAGAGUUCUUCACUUCUAAAACCUUAGAAGUUUUACAAUUUGUUUCAUUAAAGGAGACCAUUUAUUGUCAGUCUCUAUAUUAUAUUGCGUAGAGCUUUGGAAUUUAAAUUAGCAAUACCCUUCCACAAAGUGUUCUUUCUUUCACACAUGCCUAUGUGUUCCCUCUUCAUCACAUUGCAUCCUUCACUAUGUGGAAAAAACAUACAGGAAAAAGGGUUAAAAGGAUUGUGUACAAAGACACAAACCAUCCCCAACUUGCAAAAGGCUGCCUUGCAAAGGCUCAUGUGUGAAUUACGCUUUGGAACUUCAGAAAGUUUCUCAUUGACUUAGAAUACUAGAGCAAUCUACUAAAUUCAUUUGACACAAAAUAUAAGAGAAGAUACAUGAGUUACACAAAUAAUCAAAACAAUAAAGUAAUAGUUCUAAUAUAAAUAUAAAACUAAAAUAGAUGUGACAGUUUUUAUUUAGGGUGAGAGGAGGAAAAAGAGGAAUACAGCAUGCAUAGUUUCCUUGAGAACAGGAUACAAAAUGAUGUAGGUGAUGAAGACGCAUGAAUGGAGAAAUCAGCGACCAGCCCUGGAGUAGCUCCUCUCCACUAGCCAGCCUGGGGAAAUACUGUCUGUUCAGUGUGUACAUCACAUGCUGUCUAAGCCAUAAUGUUUCAGUCUGAAGACAUAGUGUGGGCUAUAGAAGAAAUGAGAUGAGCUGAGAGAUCAACAGGCAUUUAUCUGAGAAUGGAGGACAAGCAGAAAGCAGAAAGGGC
rnacentral:lncRNA from 1 species